GACGUACGCUGGCGGCGUGCUUAACACAUGCAAGUCGAACGGUAAGGCCCUUCGGGGUACACGAGUGGCGAACGGGUGAGUAACACGUGGGUGAUCUGCCCUGCACUUCGGGAUAAGCCUGGGAAACUGGGUCUAAUACCGGAUAGGACCACUGCCUGCAUGGGUGGUGGUGGAAGGCUUUUGCGGUGUGGGAUGGGCCCGCGGCCUAUCAGCUUGUUGGUGGGGUGAUGGCCUACCAAGGCGACGACGGGUAGCCGGCCUGAGAGGGUGACCGGCCACACUGGGACUGAGAUACGGCCCAGACUCCUACGGGAGGCAGCAGUGGGGAAUAUUGCACAAUGGGCGCAAGCCUGAUGCAGCGACGCCGCGUGAGGGAUGACGGCCUUCGGGUUGUAAACCUCUUUCAGCACCGACGAGGCGCAAGUGACGGUAGGUGCAGAAGAAGGACCGGCCAACUACGUGCCAGCCGCCGCCGUAA
rnacentral:rRNA from 1 species